rnacentral:lncRNA from 1 species
UCAGGUAACUGUAGCAUGUGGGUUAGCAAUAAUUUUCCACGCUGGUUAGUCUUAAAUUUUUUUCGUGCAAAACGGCGCCGUUUUGUUGUUCAAUAAAACCCAAGCUUUUAGCCUUCAGCCGUAUUGUUUCAUUUUCUAUUUCUCUCUCUCUAAAACGCCCGACCCUUUCUGUUCUUUCUAGAUUGCAGAACACCACAGAAAACAAACUACCACCUGUUCUGCCGUUGAUCACCAGCCGUGAGGACCUUAACAGCAACCUUGCCCGAUUCCUCUUCACCCUCCUUCCCUUCCCUUUUUCUCCUCUUCUGUCUUAAAACCCAAAAACUCCCCAAAAAGACUCAAACCGAAACCCACGGAAAAAACACUUUUAUGUGAUUACUUGUGCUAUCUGUGUCUCGUGAUUGUCUGCUUAAUUUGAGAAUGGAUUUUGGUUCUGGGUAUGAGUUUAGUGCGUUGGUGUUUACUGGUUAUGGGUUUGGUGAUAAACUGAUGGGUUUUACUUCUUUUAGGCUCAAAUUAUGGAUUUUUGUUUUGCCUCUUCGAUUUGUUCUAAUCUUUGUUUGCUCUGUGUUCUGGCUCUGUUCCAAAUUUGGUGGGUAGGAGUUUCUGGAUUCGGUCUCUAUGUGUUUGAUUGAGGCUGUGUAUUGUGGAUUGCUUCCAGCAAUUAAAUUUUCUGUGGGUUUCUCUGCUAGUUUUCCAAUUCUGGUUUUGUGAAAUUUCUGUUUGUGGUUGCUUCUCUGUUGAAUUACUAGUUGGCUUGGUUCUUGAUUGUGUGCCAAUUGCUCACUGCCUAACCUUUGUUUGUUUAUGUUCUGAUUCUUGGUUGGCUGCUUUUGGAAUUGGUGUUUGAUUGCUUCCUCUGGUUUGCACGGCUAUUGAAUGUUUGCAUUUUUUUGUCGAAUUGAUUCCUCAGUUGUUUCUCGACUUCUUUGUUAAUUGCUCGAUGCUUCUUUUCUGCUUAUUGGUUUGCAGUUGCUUCUGAAACACCAAACUUUUGCUACUAACUGUAUUGAUCAUGAAAUCCUAUGUGGCCCCGUUUGAUCACAAAUUUAAGGUCUUUAUAUAAAAGAUUGAAAUCUCAAUUCAAGUUGAACAAGCAUUAACCUUACUGAAUAUGCACAGAUUUUCAGGACUUUAUUUUUAUGCAAUCUUUCCUUUUUCAAUGGAUUAGCUUCCAAAUAUUUUUGUAGGCAAUGAAUCAAUAAAUUCCAGAAUUGAAAAUCAAAUCCAAGACCAAAUUUGUCAAUUUCCUUUCGCAAAUUAAACUGUUUCUUCCAUAAGUUUUCUGAC